rnacentral:tRNA from 1 species
ACUUGAAUAGCUUAUAUAGAGCAUAAUAUUGAAGAUAUUAUUGAGAUUUUUAAUCUUUGAGUA